CCCUUUGAUGUUCUGGGCUGCACGCGCGCUACACGGAUGCGCUCAACGAGUUUACGACCUUGCCUGGAAAGGUUGGGUAAUCUUCUUAAAACGCAUCGUGAUGGGGAUAGAUUAUUGCAACUAUUAAGAUUCAACGAGGAGUUCCUAGUAAGCGCGGGUCAUCAUCCCGCGCUGAAUACGUCCCUGCCCUUUGUACACACCGCCCGUCGCUCCUACCGAUUGAGUGGUCCGGUGAGGCUUUGGGAUCUGAGCGGAAAGAGCGUUUCGCUGUUUCUGCUCGGAAAACUCAGUCGAACCUUAUCAUUUAGAGGAAGGAGAAGUCGUAACA
rnacentral:rRNA from 1 species